rnacentral:rRNA from 1 species
UACGUAGGGUGCAAGCGUUAAUCGGAAUUACUGGGCGUAAAGCGUGCGCAGGCGGCUUUGCAAGACAGAUGUGAAAUCCCCGGGCUCAACCUGGGAACUGCAUUUGUGACUGCAAGGCUAGAGUACGGCAGAGGGGGAUGGAAUUCCGCGUGUAGCAGUGAAAUGCGUAGAUAUUCGGAAGAACACCAAUGGCGAAGGCAAUCCCCUGGGCCUGUACUGACGCUCAUGCACGAAAGCGUGGGGAGCAAACAGG